GGUUUCUUUGUGUAGCCCUGGCUGUCCUGGAACUCACUCUGUAGACCAGGCUGGCCUCAAACUCAGAAAUUUACCUGCCUCUGCCUUCUGAGUGCUAGGAUUAAAGGUGUGUGCUACCACUGCCUG
rnacentral:miRNA from 14 species